rnacentral:tRNA from 2 species
CCAUAGCUCAGUUGGUAGAGCAACUGACUUUUAAUCAGUAGGUCACAGGUUCGAAUCCUGUUGG